ensembl:lncRNA
UCGCGCGCGCACACACACACAAACACGAACACGUUACCACUAGCUGACCUAUAAAAACAGACAUGGGGCGAAAGGUUUUGAUUCCAACCCAGUAACAAUACCGCGAGGAUCCUCUGGAUGGCGCUGUCCAUAAGACUCACUGCAGCUCGGACAGCAGAUUCUCCGCCCCGUCACUCAACCGUGUACUGAACAGACCAGCAAUCUAUUCUAUACCGUCGCCGCAUGCAUCGUCAACCUGCGGAACAGAACGAACGUGGUCAGCAGUUGUGUGUAAAGUUCACCACGACGGUCUGGUAAUUCAGUCAACGGUCUGCCAAUUUGUUGGUAUGGCACCAUGGCGAAGUGCCGCGCUGGGCUGUUUUACAGUUGGACAGGUUUAACAGGCCCUGGGAUGCUCAUGAAGGACUCGGCAAGCUACCUCACCUGGCAACCGUGACGCCCCCGUCCCGCACAACCUUCCCAGGGGCACCUCCCAACACUCCUGUCAAAUAACCUACUCUGCAUCUCAGUGACGGAUGCCAAAAAUACAAUCGCUAACAGGAGAGGAGAGGGAAGAGUCCCAGUGACAACGCUGCGGUCUCGCAUCUUCAGCACGGCCUCCAAAACACGACCGGGUGGAGGAUCACUGGAUUCUGAGGCCUUGUAGCCAGUCAGGCGUGAUCCAGGCAGCAUGUUGAACGAAGCUCCGACACCCCCCCCACACACACUGUCACUGUGUUCUUCUACUCCAAAUACACAGCGCGCUGUCCAAGGUUAAGAAAGCAGGCCCUGUGUAUUUUGGCAGGUGGGAUAUAUUCUGAAAGAGCAACAAAUCGCCUAUAUUUAGAUGGAGGGAUUCAGCAGCCAGCGCUGUUUUCUCUCCUCGGUAUGAUAGAGGAGGGGAGGAAGAGGAGGAGGAAGAGGAGCAGGAGAGGUGGAGAGGAGAGGAGGAGGAAGAAAACUUGGAGAGGAGAGAAGAGAGUAUGACAGAUGGUGAUUCCUUCUCUCUCAUUUUGAUAACAUCAUCUUGGAACUGUUUGCAAAAGGACCGGAAACUAGAAUGUUUUAUUCAGGUUUCUUUUAUUUCAACUCCCAGAUCGGAGGGCUACUGAACACAGACUGCACAUGUUUUUUGACCUGCUUUUAAGCUCUCUUGUUCUCUUUGCGUGGUUUCAACUUUUAAGCACUGCAGUUAUGCCUGCUGUCUUAUACUACACAUAAUGCUUUCUUGGACAAACCCGGGAUAUUUCAAUGUGAUCUCUUUAGUUAAGUAUGAAUGUAUAAAUAUUUGCUCAGUCACCCCAG